GUUCUGUAGAUAUCAUUAGCGGCCACAUGGGACAGAAUAAUGUUAUGUGCUGCAAUGAAAGGCUCUCUCUCUGAAUCACCAUUGCUGCAAUUCCCAAAUGAACCAGAGCAACGUGAUGGCGGGAAAAGUCCUGUUCUGUAACCGUGAAUUACUACAAGGUUCGGCUCAUUGAAGGUACUGAUGGAAAAUGAAAGGUGGAGCCAUUCAUGAAAGUAACCCCCUCAGUACUUGGCCCUGCAGUCUAAAGCCAGCAAGCAAAGUCUCUUUGAAGAAUCUAGCAAGUUUUUAUAGAAAUGGCCGGCCAUCUCUCUUCUCAAUCGAGACAAAUUUCAGUGGUCCCACUGUGAAAUCAUUGCACGAGGCCUCCACCCAAUAUGGACCCAGAAAGUCUAUAUCAAAAGCCAUUCUUUCAUGUCACUGUUUUGGCAUGCAUUUGAGUAGUUUAUUCGUUGCUCAAUCACUUGGUGUGCACAUUCUCUCCACCAUUUUGCAAUGUAUUAUCAAAGGUUAAGUCUAUCUAAUGUGCCCCUCUCAGACCUCUAUAUAAUGGGGAUUGAAGUGAGCGUACUUUUUUAGUGUGUUA